rnacentral:rRNA from 1 species
GGAUUGCGNAUGGGCGAAUGCCUGACGCAGCGACGCCGCGUGUGGGAUGACGGCCUUCGGGUUGUAAACCACUGUCGGGGGGGACGAAGGCCCGGCGGCGAACAGUCGACCGGGAUUGACGGUACCCCCAAAGGAAGCACCGGCUAACUCCGUGCCAGCAGCCGCGGUAAUACGGAGGGUGCGAGCGUCGUCCGGAAUCACUGGGCGUAAAGGGUGCGUAGGCGGCAGGGUAAGUCACGUGUGAAAGGCCGGGGCUCAACCCCGGAUCGGCAUGUGAGACUGCUCGGCUCGAGCACGGUAGAGGCGAGUGGAAUUCCUGGUGUAGCGGUGGAAUGCGUAGAGAUCAGGAAGAACACCGGUGGCGAAGGCGGCUCGCUGGGCCGUUGCUGACGCUGAGGCACGAAAGCGUGGGGAGCAAACAGGAUUAGAUACCCUGGUAGUCCACGCUGUAAACGAUGGACACUAGGCGUCGGGGGGAGCGACCCUCCCGGUGCCGUCGCUAACGCAAUAAGUGUCCCGCCUGGGGAGUACGGCCGCAAGGCUGAAACUCAAAAAAAUUGACGGA